UAUAAGUCAUUAAAUAUUUAAAGCUAUAUUUUUAUGUUAGGUGAAGAACAAAAUGCUGAGUACUAGGUGUGCUGUGUAUGGUUGCAAUAAUAACCUUCUUUUUUCAAAUUGGAAGCAACCUGUUUACAUCGGGUUUGAUCAAAAAAUGACAAGAGAAAUACUUUUAAAAUUAAUAGCAGAACUUUAUUUACUAUCGUAUAAUGUAGUAGCUUGCGUCAGUGACUGUAGUUGCAGUAACAUAAGUUUAUGGAAAGAAUUGAAUGUGAAUAU